GGCUCUGUGGCGCAAUAGUUAGCGCAUUGGACUUCUAGAUAAAUAAAGGUAUUCAAAGGUUGUGGGUUCGAGUCCCACCAGAGUUG
rnacentral:tRNA from 1 species